GGAAGGAGAGUAUUACGCCUGUAGCCAAACGUGCCAAAUAGGUUUCCCCUAAGCGGUUAGAAAACCCUACUAGGAAUAGAAUAUUGCGAAAGGAGAGGCACUUGUGGAUUUCUUGUAAGAAAAUCCAGUUCCUGUUCUCACCUCUGUUGUCGAUUAGGGCUUUUAGUUAAGGAAACUCAGUCUCUGAUAGCAUCAAUUUGACUAGGGUUUUUGAUUUGUGUUUAGUGCCAACAAGAUGUGUGGAGCUGCAGCUUCAACGACUUCUGGUCCCGUUGCUAAGGGGUUGAUUAUUGCGGCUGGAUAUAUUAUUGGUAGACAACUUAGUGAACGGUUGCUUAAACUUCAUAAAAGUAUCAAACAGAGGAGGGCUGAAGCAAAAGGUUACGAGAAUGGUGGUUCAUAAAGACACGCUUAUGGUAAUGAGCUGGCAUUUGGAGUACAGAUAACUUAUAAUCAGCGGAACACUAUUAAAUUGUGUCAAGACUUGUAAUGGAUUUAUGUUGGUAAGAGUUUUUAAUUGGACUCGGAUUUUGCUAGCUGAUGUGAGACCAAUACAACUAUACCUGUAGUUUUGGAUGGAGGAGAAUGUUGGUUCUAUUAUUUUGUAAAACUUUUUUUUAUUGAAAAUUUUGAAACAAUGUUCAACAAUACAAAUAAUAAUUAUUAUGAAAAUGCCAAAAGUGUUAUAAA